rnacentral:rRNA from 1 species
AGAGUUUGAUCAUGGCUCAGAUUGAACGCUGGCGGCAGGCUUCACACAUGCAAGUCGAACGGUAACAGGAAGGAAGCUUGCUUUCUUUGCUGACGAGUGGCGGACGGGUGAGUAAUGCUUGGGAAUCUGGCUUAUGGAGGGGGAUAACUACGGGAAACUGUAGCUAAUACCGCGUAAUACCUUCGGAUUAAAGGGUGGGACCGUAAGGCCACCUGCCAUAAGGUGAGCCCAAGUGGGAUUAGGUAGUUGGUGGGGUAAAGGCCUACCAAGCCGACGAUCUCUAGCUGGUCUGAGAGGAUGACCAGCCACACUGGAACUGAGACACGGUCCAGACUCCUACGGGAGGCAGCAGUGGGGAAUAUUGCACAAUGGGGGGAACCCUGAUGCAGCCAUGCCGCGUGAAUGAAGAAGGCCUUCGGGUUGUAAGUUCUUUCGGUGAUGAGGAAGGCGGUUGUUUUAAUAGAACAAUCGAUUGACGUUAGUCACAGAAGAAGCACCGGCUAACUCCGUGCCAGCAGCCGCGGUAAUACGGAGGGUGCGAGCGUUAAUCGGAAUGACUGGGCGUAAAGGGCACGCAGGCGGUGACUUAAGUGAGAUGUGAAAGCCCCGGGCUUAACCUGGGAAUUGCAUUUCAUACUGGGUCGCUAGAGUAUUUUAGGGAGGGGUAGAAUUCCACGUGUAGCGGUGAAAUGCGUAGAGAUGUGGAGGAAUACCGAAGGCGAAGGCAGCCCCUUGGGAAUAUACUGACGCUCAUGUGCGAAAGCGUGGGGAGCAAACAGGAUUAGAUACCCUGGUAGUCCACGCUGUAAACGCUGUCGAUUUGGGGAUUGGGCUUUAAGCUUGGUGCUCGUAGCU